rnacentral:rRNA from 2 species
UGCAGUCGAACGAGUUCUGAUUAUUGAAAGGUGCUUGCAUCUUGAUUUAAUUUUGAACGAGUGGCGGACGGGUGAGUAACACGUGGGUAACCUGCCCUUAAGUGGGGGAUAACAUUUGGAAACAGAUGCUAAUACCGCAUAAAUCCAAGAACCGCAUGGUUCUUGGCUGAAAGAUGGCGUAAGCUAUCGCUUUUGGAUGGACCCGCGGCGUAUUAGCUAGUUGGUGAGGUAACGGCUCACCAAGGCAAUGAUACGUAGCCGAACUGAGAGGUUGAUCGGCCACAUUGGGACUGAGACACGGCCCAAACUCCUACGGGAGGCAGCAGUAGGGAAUCUUCCACAAUGGACGCAAGUCUGAUGGAGCAACGCCGCGUGAGUGAAGAAGGCUUUCGGGUCGUAAAACUCUGUUGUUGGAGAAGAAUGGUCGGCAGAGUAACUGUUGUCGGCGUGACGGUAUCCAACCAGAAAGCCACGGCUAACUACGUGCCAGCAGCCGCGGUAAUACGUAGGUGGCAAGCGUUAUCCGGAUUUAUUGGGCGUAAAGCGAGCGCAGGCGGUUUUUUAAGUCUGAUGUGAAAGCCCUCGGCUUAACCGAGGAAGUGCAUCGGAAACUGGGAAACUUGAGUGCAGAAGAGGACAGUGGAACUCCAUGUGUAGCGGUGAAAUGCGUAGAUAUAUGGAAGAACACCAGUGGCGAAGGCGGCUGUCUGGUCUGUAACUGACGCUGAGGCUCGAAAGCAUGGGUAGCGAACAGGAUUAGAUACCCUGGUAGUCCAUGCCGUAAACGAUGAAUGCUAGGUGUUGGAGGGUUUCCGCCCUUCAGUGCCGCAGCUAACGCAUUAAGCAUUCCGCCUGGGGAGUACGACCGCAAGGUUGAAACUCAAAGGAAUUGACGGGGGCCCGCACAAGCGGUGGAGCAUGUGGUUUAAUUCGAAGCAACGCGAAGAACCUUACCAGGUCUUGACAUCUUUUGAUCACCUGAAAGAUCAGGUUUCCCCUUCGGGGGCAAAAUGACAGGUGGUGCAUGGUUGUCGUCAGCUCGUGUCGUGAGAUGUUGGGUUAAGUCCCGCAACGAGCGCAACCCUUAUGACUAGUUGCCAGCAUUUAGUUGGGCACUCUAGUAAGACUGCCGGUGACAAACCGGAGGAAGGUGGGGAUGACGUCAAAUCAUCAUGCCCCUUAUGACCUGGGCUACACACGUGCUACAAUGGAUGGUACAACGAGUUGCGAGACCGCGAGGUCAAGCUAAUCUCUUAAAGCCAUUCUCAGUUCGGACUGUAGGCUGCAACUCGCCUACACGAAGUCGGAAUCGCUAGUAAUCGCGGAUCAGCACGCCGCGGUGAAUACGUUCCCGGGCCUUGUACACACCGCCCGUCACACCAUGAGAGUUUGUAACACCCGAAGCCGGUGGCGUAACCCU